AGUUAGCUUCCACAUGCAUCCUGAACAAGAUUUGUGUCCUACAAGAAUCACUUUAUGAUCAAAUGUUUGGACAUCCAUACUCCAUGCUUGCAGUGAAAGAUUAUCAACCUCUGCCCAUGGAACCAGAUGACAAUGACCUUCCAAUCUACCCUGAUGGUGGGGACCAGCUAUGCCUUCCUAAUCAGCAGGAAGUAGCUUGAAGAACAAAGAUUGCCCCAUGCCCUCCCCACCAUCACCCCUUUUCUGGCUCCUCCUCACUUUUUAAUAAAACAAAAAGGGAGGAAUGUUGGGAUCUGGAGCAGGCAUCUCUACGGCCAGCCCUGAGGGACCUGACAAAUGGGACAUCAGGCAUCUGUGAGUCCACCUACUCACAGAAACCACCUGAAACCACCUGCUCUGGGUCAUCUCAUAAGAGAACUCGCACCCCUCUCUCUGGCCCUACCCGGAAAUGGUCUCUGUGACCCCCUCUCCCUUCUCUUAAUAAACCUCCCAUGUGGAA